UGGGGAAUUUUGGACAAUGGGGGAAACCCUGAUCCAGCGAUGCUGCGUGCGGGAAGAAGGCCUUAGGGUUGUAAACCGCUUUCAGCUAGGAAGAAAAGGUUAUAGUUAAUAUCUAUAAUUUAUGACGGUACUAGCAGAAGAAGCACCGGCUAACUACGUGCCAGCAGCCGCGGUAAUACGUAGGGUGCAAGCGUUAAUCGGAAUUACUGGGCGUAAAGAGUGCGCAGGCGGCUCUUUAAGACAGGUGUGAAAUCCCCGAGCUCAACUUGGGAAUUGCGCUUGUGACUGGAGAGCUAGAGUGCAGAAGAGGGGGAUAGAAUUCCUGGUGUAGCAGUGAAAUGCGUAGAUAUCAGGAGGAAUACCGAUGGCGAAGGCAGUCCCCUGGGCUAGCACUGACGCUCAUGCACGAAAGCGUGGGGAGCAAACAGG
rnacentral:rRNA from 1 species